UAUUGGACAAUGGGCGGAAGCCUGAUCCAGCAACGCCGCGUGGGGGAUGAAGGCCUUCGGGUUGUAAACCCCUUUCGCUCAGGACGAAGCGCAAGUGACGGUACUGAGUAAAGAAGCCCCGGCUAACUCCGUGCCAGCAGCCGCGGUAAUACGGAGGGGGCUAGCGUUGUUCGGAAUUACUGGGCGUAAAGGGCGCGUAGGCGGUUCGGUAAGUUAGGCGUGAAAGGCCUGGGCUCAACCCGGGAACUGCGCUUAAGACUGCCGGGCUGUGAGUCCGGGAGAGGAUGGCGGAAUUCCCAGUGUAGAGGUGAAAUUCGUAGAUAUUGGGAAGAACACCAGUGGCGAAGGCGGCCAUCUGGCCCGGUACUGACGCUGAGGCGCGAAAGCGUGGGGA
rnacentral:rRNA from 1 species